GCUGGGCAUGGUGGCGUGUGCCUGUAAUCCCAGUUACUUGGGAGGCUAAGGCAGGAGAAUCGCUUGAACCCAGGAGGUGGAGGUUGCAGUGAGCUGAGAUCGUGCCACUGCACUCCAGCCUGGGCUACAGAGUGAGACUCUGUGUUAA
rfam:Gorilla gorilla gorilla genomic chromosome, chr6, whole genome shotgun sequence